rnacentral:lncRNA from 10 species
GGCAGCUCUUGACCUUUAAAAAUCACAUGGAGCAAGAGGUGGUGAAAAAUGUUUAUUUACUCUGCAUUAGUGGCUAACCUCCUGUUCCUUCCUAGAACCAGUAGUUCUUUUAUACUCGGGAACUCACGCAUGUCACCCUCAUUCUUCCAACACGAACCAGACAGGCCCACUUGAGCUGGAGAAACAAUGGCCUGUAGCCGGUCCUAUGCCUCAGUGCGAAACAACAAUGCAGGCCUCUUGACGAAUUCUGGCGUCGCGAGUGGAAUCUUGCAGUUCAACAUGUCUGCUGAACAGAAGUUGGAAAAAGAAAAGAUCAUCUUGUAAACAAUUAAUUAAUGUUUGUCAUGAAUUAUCAUUUUUACUUCCUUCUCAAGAGGCUCAAAGGGAAUAAAAAGGCAUUUUUGCAGGUGGUGGCAUUCAAACUAAGGGCAAUCAAAGGUUUGAGAGCUGAGGCACAGCACUCUGAGUCUCUAAGGGUGAAUGGUGCUAGGAUUAGAGCACAGCAGGGGGUUGAGGGCUUCAGGUGUGAAGCUUAAUGUUUGUGAUCAGCAAAAAAAGUCUUGAAUUUAUCUAAACUGCUCUUCUGCUAACAGUACUUCUAGCACAUAAAUGUUCUGAAACUGACAAGUGUUCUCAUUGCUCUUCUAAUGCAAACAUGAUCUGCAUUUGAAAGAUGCAUCCCUUUUGCCUAAUUUAGAAUGUGCAUCACAAAGAGCGUUAGAUGAUGACCCCACAAAGAGAUACACACACACACACACACACACACACACACACACACACACACUCCAUGCUGCAUGCACAUACACACAUGAAAACUGUCUCUUUCUGGCCUAGAUCUUCUCUGAAGCUCCCAGGAAGGAUCCUGCAAGAUUGUUUUUCUCCAGAUUCCUAAACCAGAGGUUGAGAACUAGGGGCCUCAAUAGCCAUCUGACCAGUGAAUUCCUCUGAUCUUCUACAUGAAUAAUUCCUUUUAAUUUGGUUUGGAUAACUGUCUAGAAUUUAUCGUGCUGCAUUUUCAUUUGCAAUCUUCCCUCUGCUUCUCCCAGCAUUGAAUUCUAUCAGUAGCAAGAUAUUGAAGAGUAUCCAAUAUAUGUAAAAAUUUUAAACACACACACCACCAAUAUUAAAAUUUCCUAAGGAAUUAUGACUAAUAUUUGCAACCCCUAGAACCAAUGAUCUUGGCAGGCAUUGUUGAUAGAGGUUGCUAAGUCCAUAUAAAUACAUCUGAUGGUUUAAUGAAUCCUCUCCGUAAUCAAUUGUUGAACUCUAAUUAAAUACUCAUUUUCUUUCUAUAUCAUCAAUAGAGGUCACCUACUAGGAGAGCUCUAAAGGAAAUACUAAGUUAAAGAUUAUGAGAUAUCACUUAGUGAAAAUGAGUCAUAGGCAAAACUUAGAAGGACCAAUAUGAAUCUUAGCCUUGAGUUACUUUUUAAUCUAACCUUCCCAAACUCUCUCCUAUCCCGUAGUACCCACCCAUUUUCUUUUCUGCAUUCACAUUUCCUAUUCCCUGUAGUAUUCACCUGAAAUCAUGCAAUAAACACAGGUUAUUGGGGCAUGAAGCCUGGAGGCCCUGAGGGAUCCAGGAUGACAAAGGAAAUGUAGGCACAAACUUGCCUCCUUUUGUCUUGACUCUUUUGGAGCUAUUAAGUCAAGUGAUGCUCUGAGGUUUAUAGUCACCAUCCUAGACCAUGUCGUGGGAUUUUCCCUUGAAUCCCAGCAUGUAGUACAAACAUGUGGGCUUAAACUUAGGAAAAAAAAACCCAGAAGCUAGAGAAGAGUUUGGGCAAAAUGGGCCAAACUAGAAUAUUAUCAGCUCAGGGACAUGAAAGGAGAGUUAAAAAGUUUAGAAGAGGAAGGGAUCUGGGAGGAAAGAAGGUGAGCAGAACCCCUGAGAUGGAAUAGACAGAAAGGAACACCUUUCCUGAAAUUCCUGGCAGCUCUAGUUUGUUAACAUCUAAAAGUGGAUAAAAUGACUUACCAGAAAAAGUAAAUUAGUUUCUCAAAACUACUAAAACUCUUCAAACCUAGAGAUCUACUUAUUUUCUGUGGUUCCCCAUUUUUUGUAAAGAUGUUAAAAUCCUAUUAAAAGCCAAAUGCCAACUGCUGUAGAAUUAUGUAGAAAAAAACAGCGAAAAGAAAGUAGCAAUGGAUAUGGUGAAACUGAAAAAGACUGGAGUUCAUGACACUCUCUAUACCCAAAGGUAUACUCCAGAUUUAUUACAGGUACACUGAGGUUGUUUCUAAGUCCCAGGAUUCUGGACCUUGGUUAGGGUGUGUGGCUCUGCCUGUUGGUCUACCCUAUGUCCACAUCGUCUCUCUGAACCUGCCUAACUUUCCCUUGCCCCCUUGCUGAACAAUGCUCUGCAUGUGGCCUUGUCUCUAGGACAGAUCAUAUGACUGGGGGCAGGAGGUUCCCCUUUCUUCCCUGCCACAUGCUGCUCUUCAUUCUUACUUUGGAUGGCUAAGAUAGCAUUCACUGGGGCUUGAGGGGAGGGGGCUGAAAAGGUCUCAAAUGAGUGAAAAAUUGAAAGCCUAUGUGGCUUUUAUUGGUAUUGGAUCAAUUGGUCUAGAUCUAACUGGAAAAUGUUUUACUGUAGGGUGAAUUUUACAAAAUUAUGAACAUUUAGCUUUAAAAUAAAUGGCAUUGAUUAAUCCAGUCAUUACAAAUAUGUGCAAAGUUGGUAUCAGCCUAACACACUCCCCCUACCAGGAAAGACACAGACUGAAACAUAGAUGGCAAUGGUUUUCACAUUCUUUAAGUGUAAACAAUUAGAUUCCCCCAACAAGUGUUUAGCUGCAAGUUGCAUUAACCCAAAGCAACAAGGAAGAGUUUCAAGGAGUAAAAACAAAGAAUAGUUUUAAGGAGUAUUACUAGGAAUAUAUCUUCCUUCUACAGCAGAAAAACUAGAUGGGGGGAAGUCCUCCUAUAGAUUGCUAACGAAUGCCUCCCCCAACCACCCAAGAAGGAGUUGUUGAUGGAAAGAAUUAAAAAUUGUGACCACUUGAACGGCUCCACUGGUUGGAUCUGUCUUUUCCAAAGAGACUGAUCUUUCUAGGACUUCUGUCUGCGUGAGAGGUCCCACCCACCCUGCUACCAUUUUAAGGAGACCUGUGAAAGCCUCCUUAUUUGGCUUCCCUCCUACUCCCCCCGUUAUGCCACCACUGUGUGCUACUGCUUGAAAUUAAUCAAGGGCCCCUUCUGGGAAAGGGAUUCCUCUUUGAGAGAAACGGAACUGGACACUUCUCUGCCUUCCGCGUCCCCUCGCCCUGCCAGCCCCUGCUCCCCAAAGCUCCCCAGACAAAGCCCCAGGACUCCCGACUCCCGCGGAAGCUGCGAGGAGCCGCAGACCUGCCCUUGCCAGACAGCUGCUGUUUGAACCCAGUUCUGACCGUAAAAUCAAAAGUGGGUCCGAGGGAAGCGGUGUCGCUGCCCUUGCUGCUUAACUCUAAUAGCAGGCACCGCUGCAGCACUUGCCCAGGUGUGGAGGGUGGUCCAGGUCUUCAGGGGAGGCAGAGACCCUCCUCGCCCCAGUCUGUCAGUGUCCUCCGUAAGCCUUCGGUUGUUUCAGGUGCUAAAUAUGUAAGAUCCAACUUUUCAGCGAACUCAAAGAGGCAGACACCUGAAGCACUGCUUCAUCAAAUCACUCACUGCUUACUGGCUUGGUUUUCAACUUCGCUAACAUGCAGAGUGACCUAAAUGGUCUCUUCCGUUCUUUCCACAAUGACCACACACCUACGGAGGUCGCCUUCUAUACUUUGAAUUAAACCUGCUAGUGUCAGGGACAUCGGGAGAACCAACUUCUGGAAACUGAGCUGGUCCCCAGGACUGUGUAUUUAGUUUUCAACUGUAAGAAAAGGAAGUCUAUCUGGGAAAGGAGACCUGAGGUGCUGAAAAACAAGGGAAAAAAUGGUCUUGAAAACAAGGAAUCAUAUUUGCCUGUGGAUAUGGAAGAGACACUGACCGAGGCUGACUCUCCAACUAGCUGUUUUGUCACAGGCGAGUGGAAACUAGUCAUGAACAAUGAGUGUGCAUUCUUGCUUCUUAAAUGGCUAAGGAACGAACCAGUUUUGACAUGCUGCAAAUCCGGCAAAGUCUGGGUUAACAAAAGUGUGUUUGACAAAAGAUGAAGUUUCUUUUCCUAUAUUUUCCCCAGAAUUUCAGAUUUGUAAUUAUUGCUGAGCGCAAGAAAACAUCAGGAAGAUUUGUGGUUUAUGGAAGAAUAGGCACCUUCCAACGUUAAUCUUAUCUCCCUAUUGCAGGCUGGAAUACAGUGCAUCACUGCAGCCUUGACCUUCUGGGGUCAAGUGAUCCUCCUACCUCAGCCUCCCAAAGUGCUGAGAUUACAGGAGUGAACCACCAAACAAUUAUUGACCUGAACAACUGCUCCAUGAAAGAAUUUCCACAUAACUGUAGCUGCAUCUUUCAAAUGUUUAAUUUAUAACUGUGGUAAUGUAUGUACUGCCUAAUGUAACUGGGGUAUUGUAAAGGGGAGGCUCUCAAAAGAGAGGUACUAUAAUUUCUUUGUAAUAUCCUAAUUGCUGUCCAAAAACAGACCUGGUUUUAUAAUAUUAGCUAACAUCUACUGAGCAAUUCCCUUGGGACAGACAGUUUCAAACAUGCAAGAUCUCACCUCUUCUUCGUAACAAUCAAUAAGGUAGUCUCUACUAUUGUCAUUCCCAUUUCACAGACUGGGAAAUAAGAACAAAGACAGAUUAAGUAAAUUGAUCAAAGUCACACCGUCAAAGGGAUAAAGCUGGAUCUAUUGUUUAUUUACAUGAAUACUGACA